rnacentral:rRNA from 1 species
AAUAGAUACCCGGGUAGUCCACGCCGUAAACGAUGAAUACUAGGUGUAGGGGUUGUCAUGACCUCUGUGCCGCCGCUAACGCAUUAAGUAUUCCGCCUGGGGAGUACGGUCGCAAGAUUAAAACUCAAAGGAAUUGACGGGGGCCCGCACAAGCAGCGGAGCAUGUGGUUUAAUUCGAAGCAACGCGAAGAACCUUACCUAGACUUGACAUCUCCUGCAUUACUCUUAAUCGAGGAAGUCUCUUCGGGGACAGGAUGACAGGUGGUGCAUGGUUGUCGUCAGCUCGUGUCGUGAGAUGUUGGGUUAAGUCCCGCAACGAGCGCAACCCUUAUUGUUAGUUGCCAUCAUUAAGUUGGGCACUCUAGCGAGACUGCCCGGGUUAACCGGGAGGAAGGUGGGGAUGACGUCAAAUCAUCAUGCCCCUUAUGUCUAGGGCUACACACGUGCUACAAUGGUCGGUACAAUAAGACGCAAGCCCGCGAGGGGGAGCAAAACUGGAAAACCGAUCUCAGUUCGGAUUGUAGGCUGAAACUCGCCUAC